GAGAAGGUUCGGAGAGAUGUGGUGUUGAAAUAUACAGAAGGGAUUUGCUGGGUCAUGCAUUAUUAUUAUGAAGGAGUCUGCUCCUGGCAAUGGUAUUAUCCUUAUCACUAUGCUCCAUUUGCUUCAGAUUUUGUUGGUAUUGAAGAGUUAAAG